rnacentral:rRNA from 1 species
GACGAACGCUGGCGGCGCGCCUAACACAUGCAAGUCGAACGGAGCUAUUUCGAUAGAUCCCUCGGGUGACAUUGGCUUAGCUUAGUGGCGAACGGGUGAGUAACACGUGAGGAACCUGCCCUUCAGAGGGGGACAACAGUUGGAAACGACUGCUAAUACCGCAUGACGCAUGACCGGGGCAUCCCGGACAUGCCAAAGAUUUAUCGCUGAAAGAUGGCCUCGCGUCUGAUUAGAUAGUUGGCGGGGUAAUGGCCCACCAAGUCGACGAUCAGUAGCCGGACUGAGAGGUUGACCGGCCACAUUGGGACUGAGAUACGGACCAA